rnacentral:rRNA from 1 species
AGAGUGCCUGGGGGAUGUUCCGGCGUUGAGAGGCGAUGAAGGACGUGGGACGGCUGCGUAAAGCUGCGGUGAGCUGCCAACCAAGCAUUGACCCGCAGAUGUCCGAAUCCGGAAACGGCUAGGAGCAUGCUCCUAGAUCCACGGCUGAAUCCAUAGGCCGUGGAGGCGAACGAGGGGAACUGAAACAUCUCAGUACCCUCAGGAAGAGAAAGAAACAUCGACUUCCUCAGUAGCGGCGAGCGAACGGGAAUGAGCCCAAACCGAUGGCCUGUAAGCCUGCAGGCGUUUUGUCAUCGGGGUUGUGGGAAGCACGUCAUCGUCCUGCAGGACGGUGGGCAAGUCAUAAAACCAUGUUCUAGUGGAAGGUCCUGGAAAGUUCCGCCACAGACGGUGAUAGCCCGGUACACGAAAGGGCAUGGUCUUGCUGUUGCUCUCCCGAGUAGCGCCAGACACGGGAAACCUGGUGUGAAGCUGGGGGGACCACCCCCCAAGGCUAAGUACUCCUCAACGACCGAUAGUGAAUGAGUAGCGUGAGCGAACAAUGAAAAGUACCCCGGUGAGGGGAGUGAAAUAGUACCUGAAACCGAUUGCCUACAAUCCGUCGGAGCCUUCCUUGUGGGGGUGACGGCGUGCCUUUUGAAGAAUGAGCCUGCGAGUUAGUGGUACGUCGCGAGGUUAACCCGUGGGGGGUAGCCGUAGCGAAAGCGAGUCCUAAUAGGGCGGUGAGUGGCGUGCUCUAGACCCGAAGCGGAGUGAUCUAUCCAUGGCCAGGUUGAAGCGACGGUAAGACGUCGUGGAGGACCGAACCCACCUAGGU